rnacentral:rRNA from 1 species
GAUGAACGCUGGCGGCGUGCUUAAUACAUGCAAGUCGAACGGAGACAGUAGCAAUAUUGUCUUAGUGGCGAACGGGUGAGUAACGCGUUGGUGACCUGCCUCGAAGAGAGGGAUAACAGUUCGAAAGGAUUGCUAAUACCUCAUGUGGUUAUUUGGGUUAGAGACCUUAUAACUAAACGGAUUUAUUCGCUUCGAGAGGGGCCUGCGUCCCAUCAGCUAGUUGGUAAGGUAACGGCCUACCAAGGCGAUGACGGGUAGGGGACCUGAGAGGGUGGCCCCCCACAAUGGAACUGAAACACGGUCCAUACACCUACGGGUGGCAG